GCCCCUUUAGCUCAGUUGGUAGAGCGCGACACUAGUAUCCACAAGGAUGCCGAGAAAUGUCGAGGGCGAUCGUUCAAAUCGGUCAGGGGGCA